AAGUUCAAACAUUGGUUGAUCCUUAUCACCAAUUCAAAUCAAAUUUAAAUUAAAUUUUGAAUUAAAUUUUAUCUUCCUCUUAAAAACUUAGAUAGUGGUCAACCAAUGUCAGAAUGGCAUAAAAGAUCUCAUGCAGAAAUACUUUGUGUGUGGAGAAAGGUGGUGGCAUGAAGAGAAGAGUCCAACUCAAUUUGGACUCUAGGUUUUCAUUCAAAUUCAAAUCCAUUUGAACAUAAAUUUAAAUCAACUAAUUUUUAAUUCAAAAAGAGAUUAGAUAUGGGCAUGGAACUACUUCUAAGUGUGAGAAUAAAUUUACAUAAAAAAUUUCUUGCAUGAAGAAAAAGAGGGCGCAG
rnacentral:lncRNA from 1 species